UGGCGAACGGGUGAGUAACGCGUGAGGAACCUGCCUCAAAGAGGGGGACAACAGUUGGAAACGACUGCUAAUACCGCAUAAGCCCACGGGUCGGCAUCGACCUGAGGGAAAAGGAGCAAUCCGCCUUGAGGUGGCCUCGCGUCCGAUUAGCUAGUUGGUGAGGUAAUGGCCCACCAAGGCGACGAUCGGUAGCCGGACUGAGAGGUUGAACGGCCACAUUGGGACUGAGACACGGCCCAG
rnacentral:rRNA from 1 species